UACGGAGGGGGCUAGCGUUGCUCGGAAUUACUGGGCGUAAAGGGCGCGUAGGCGGACAGUUUAGUCAGAGGUGAAAGCCCAGGGCUCAACCUUGGAAUUGCCUUUGAUACUGGCUGUCUUGAGUUCGGGAGAGGUGAGUGGAAUGCCGAGUGUAGAGGUGAAAUUCGUAGAUAUUCGGCGGAACACCAGUGGCGAAGGCGACUCACUGGCCCGAUACUGACGCUGAGGCGCGAAAGCGUGGGGAGCAAACAGG
rnacentral:rRNA from 1 species